UGGACCAAUGAUGAUGACUGGUAGCAUAUGUGUCAUGGACGAUGUAUAAUAGUUGUCUAGGAGUCUGAGGUCCAA